GGUAAGACGAGGGAUCCUAGCGUUGUUCGGAAUUAUUGGGCGUAAAGCGGGUGUAGGUGGCUAUGUAAGUCAAGUGUGAAAGCCUGGGGNUCAACCCCAGAAGUGCAUUUGAUACUGCGUAGNUNGNGUGCUAGAGAGGAUAGUAGAAUUGUUGGUGUAGUGGUGAAAUACGUAGAUAUCNACAGGNAU
rnacentral:rRNA from 1 species